rnacentral:rRNA from 1 species
AAUGGGGGAAACCCUGAUCCAGCCAUGCCGCGUGAGUGAAGAAGGCCUUCGGGUUGUAAAGCUCUUUCGGCCGGGACGAAAUCGCACGCGUGAAUAUCGCGUGUGGAUGACGGUACCGGCAGAAGAAGGACCGGCUAACUACGUGCCAGCAGCCGCGGUAAUACGUAGGGUCCGAGCGUUAAUCGGAAUUACUGGGCGUAAAGCGUGCGCAGGCGGUUUUGUAAGCCAGAUGUGAAAUCCCCGGGCUCAACCUGGGAACUGCAUUUGGGACUGCAAGGCUUGAGUACGGCAGAGGGGGGUAGAAUUCCUGGUGUAGCAGUGAAAUGCGUAGAUAUCAGGAGGAAUACCGAUGGCGAAGGCAGCCCCCUGGGUCGAUACUGACGCUCAUGCACGAAAGCGUGGGGAGCAAA